UGUCAAAGCCUAUAGAGUACAAAAAAACCCAAAAAGUGAAAACCCUAUUUUUUCUUCUAGUCAUUUUCCCACUUGUUCAGCCGUUUUCAUCUCUAUUUUCCCAUCUUAUUCUCUCACCUCUCUCUUCUUUCUAUAUCUAGCUUGUUUAUCAAAAUUGCAACUUCAAACUUGUUUAUCUUCAAAUUUUUCGCCUACUACGGUGAAUGAUGAAGCCAAUACACCAAGCCCAUUUGAGAGCGCACCUCAAAGUCAGUAGCAAGACCAACUAGUCAAACCUGAUGAAGUUUUCCAAGAUCUAAUUUUUAUUUUGUUGGGAAUAUUGCCUCCUUAAGACAUUGAUUUUGAUUUUGGACUGUACAGUAAAUUAUUAUGUGUAAACUAUGGUUACUUUUACUUGAAUGUAUUUUUAUUAUGCUUAAAUUGAUAGGUUUAUACAGCAAAGUUUUAUGCAAAAUAACAAGUUAAAUAUA